UACAGAGGUCUCAAGCGUUGUUCGGAUUCAUUGGGCGUAAAGGGUGCGUAGGUGGCGCCGUAAGUCGGGUGUGAAAUUCGGAGCUUAACUCCGAAACUGCAUUCGAUACUGCGUGCUUGAGGACUGGAGAGGAGACUGGAAUUCAUGGUGUAGCAGUGAAAUGCGUAGAGAUCAUGAGGAAGACCAGUGGCGAAGGCGGUCUCUGGACAGUUCCUGACACUGAGGCACGAAGGCCAGGGAGGCAAAC
rnacentral:rRNA from 1 species